UACGUAGGUGGCGAGCGUUGUCCGGAUUUACUGGGCGUAAAGGGCGUGCAGGCGGUUUGUUAAGUGCAGGGUGAAAGCUCCCGGCUCAACUGGGAGAGGUCCUUGCAUACUGGCGAACUCGAGGGAGGCAGAGGAAAGUGGAAUUCCCGGUGUAGUGGUGAUAUGCGUAGAUAUCGGGAGGAACACCUGUGGCGAAGGCGGCUUUCUGGGCCUUACCUGACGCUGAGACGCGAAAGCGUGGGGAGCGAACCGG
rnacentral:rRNA from 2 species